rnacentral:tRNA from 1 species
GACUGAGUGGUAAAGCGCUUGGCUUCCUAACCAAGGGGUCCCGGGUUCGAAUCCUGG